rnacentral:rRNA from 1 species
AACGAACGCUGGCGGCAUGCCUAACACAUGCAAGUCGAACGAGACCUUCGGGUCUAGUGGCGCACGGGUGCGUAACGCGUGGGAACCUGCCCUUAGGUUCGGAAUAAUUCCCCGAAAGGGGUGCUAAUACCGGAUAAUGUCUUCGGACCAAAGAUUUAUCGCCUUUGGAUGGGCCCGCGUUGGAUUAGCUUGUUGGUAGGGUAAAAGCCUACCAAGGCGACGAUCCAUAGCUGGUCUGAGAGGAAGGGCAGCCACACUGGGGCUGGGACACGGCCCAGACUACUACGGGAGGCAGGAGAGGGGAAUAUUGGACAAUGGGCUAAAGCCUGAUCCAGCAAUGCCGCGUGAGUGAUGAAGGCCUUAGAGUUGUAAAGCUCUUUUACCCGGGAUGAUAAUGACAGUACCGGGAGAAUAAGCUCCGGCUAACUCCGUG